CAGUAGCCGCGGUAAUACAGAGGGUGCAAGCGUUAAUCGGAAUUACUGGGCGUAAAGCGCGCGUAGGUGGUUUGUUAAGUUGGAUGUGAAAUCCCCGGGCUCAACCUGGGAAUGGCAAUGGAUACUGGCAAGCUAGAGUGUGUCAGAGGAUGGUGGAAUUCCCGGUGUAGCGGUGAAAUGCGUAGAGAUCGGGAGGAACAUCAGUGGCGAAGGCGGCCAUCUGGGACAACACUGACGCUGAGGCACGAAAGCGUGGGGAGCAAACAGGAUUAGAUACCCCGGUAGUCCCUGUCUCUUAUAC
rnacentral:rRNA from 1 species